UCAUCUACUACUUUUUUUCUUUUCCUUUCUUUUCAAGAUGCUGCUAGAAUUUUUGCUUUUUAUUGAUGGAUGUCCCUUUUCGCACCAUUCAUUAGUGCAAGGUUUUGGGAUACGGCAAGUCUUUCUCAAAGGAUUGUAGCUCAACUAUUUCCGCACUAUUUGCUAACAAAUCCACCACUUGGUUAGCUUCUUAAUCUCUAUGCUUAAAUGGAUAGUGCAGGAAACUCGAG
rnacentral:lncRNA from 1 species